rnacentral:misc_RNA from 1 species
GAAGACAUCUUGAAGGACCUUGUAGUUCUGGAUCAUUUAGCAUUCGUUUUUAGCGUCGAAAUUGACCUUGUGCAUAGCCACGAUCCCUGGAUGAACUGAGUCCAUUAGCUGGCAAUGAACGGCACCAGUGCAGGCGUAAAAUUGACAGAUCCAGAACAAGUCAGAGAGAAAAUUUUCACUGCAACAGAUAAACUAUAGCAAAAAAGAAAGAAAACUAAGUGCAGACCUCUUCGACUUUGGAGAGAUUGA